UACGUAGGUGGCAAGCGUUGUCCGGAAUUAUUGGGCGUAAAGCGCGCGCAGGCGGUCUUUUAAGUCUGAUGUGAAAGCCCACGGCUCAACCGUGGAGGGUCAUUGGAAACUGGGGGACUUGAGUGCAGAAGAGGAAAGUGGAAUUCCAAGUGUAGCGGUGAAAUGCGUAGAGAUUUGGAGGAACACCAGUGGCGAAGGCGACUUUCUGGUCUGUAACUGACGCUGAGGCGCGAAAAGCGUGGGGAGCAAACAGG
rnacentral:rRNA from 1 species